ACAGGGUGAUUCACGUGACAUGAGCCAAGGAGUUAACAAAUAAGUGAUUAACCGCAGCUGAAUGAAACCAACGACAUAUGGUUUGCCGUCAUGUGGCGCUCCUUAGAGUAUAUUUUAUAUUUCACUUAAUUAGUUAAUUAAGAUGAGAUAA
rnacentral:lncRNA from 1 species